CACCGCACCUCCCAAGCAGGCAUACAAGACCACCCAACCAGCCCCAUUCGCGUCCUGAGGAGCUGGAGGCCUGUCGCUGUCCGUGGUUCUGAAUCUCCCCAUCGCCUCUCCCAGUCUGGACAGCGUCCAUUCCCACCCAGAGGUCUCCCCGGAUGACCGAGAACCACAUGAAGAAGCUGGCAAACCGGGGGAGCGAGGCGGAGUGAUGUCUGCGACGCUGGGCAAGUGUUGACAGGCACAGGGCGGCCGGGCCGGAGGCGGACACGGGCUGGGCUGAGAGUGACCGCCUGAGCAGAGGGAACCGAAGAGUGUCUAGCUUUCCUGUUUCAUUUCCCGUCUGAUGAAAAGGUGGUGCGUUUUCACACUGUCAGAGGGCAAUCAGAGCUGCGACUUCUCUUUCCCGGGGCCCACGCGGCUUCAUGUGCUCCUGACAGCUCCAUCACACCUCUCUCAGUUUCAGCAUUUUGUUUCCCUCUGGAAACGUGGCAGAGGAUAACCCUCCGUUUCCCUGGCACAGGUCAGGCUCAGCGGCCUCAUUCCUGGCAUACACAUGACCCCCACCCCCAUGUUCCAGGCCCAGCUCCUCUGUCUCCCCCACAGGACAUGGCAGGGCAGGAAGGACCACGCUCAUCGCAGUAUCCCCAGCAGCUGGCACAGAGCCUGUCGAUCCAUUCACUUUGGUCCCUUCCCUUCCAUAUGAAUGAGCUGAGCCAAACAAUGCAUGGCCAGCAGCCCUGUCCGGGUGGCUCAGUUGAUUAGAGCGUCAUCCCAAGAUGCCAAGGUUGUGGAUUUGACCUCCGGUCGGGCCAUAUACAAGAAGCAACCAAUAAAUGCAUCAAGGAGUGGAAG